rnacentral:rRNA from 1 species
AGCUCCAAUAGCGUAUAUUAAAGUUGUUGCAGUUAAAAGCUCGUAGUUGGAUUUCUGGCAGGAGCGACCGGUCACACACUCUGUGUGUGAACUCGUGUUGUCUCUGGCCAUCCUCGGGGAGAUCCUGUUUGGCAUUAAGUUGUCGGGCAGGGGAUACCCGUCGUUUACUGUGAAAAAUUAGAGUGUUUAAAGCAGGCUUAUGCCGUUGAAUAUAUUAGCAUGGAAUAAUAAGAUAGGACUUCGGAACUAUUUUGUUGGUUUGCGUUACGAAGUAAUGAUUAAUAGGGACAGUUGGGGGUAUUCGUAUUUCGUUGUCAGAGGUGAAAUUCUUGGAUUUCCGAAAGACGAACUACUGCGAAAGCAUUUACCAAGGAUGUUUUCA